AUGUGACAUGUCAAACAUAGUUUUGAAAAAAGAUGUUAAAUAAAGAGAUAACAACAGUAGAAAGAGUUUGCUUUUCAUCGUGUUGUUAUUUUAAAAGCCCAUGUGUAAACCCCUGAAGCCCCCGUUGAUCCUGCACCCUGGCUAUGGACAGGGGUGUUUUGGUAACGGUGUUGCUAGGCCUAGUUGUGUCACUGUGCAGUCAAAGCGACGCAUUUGUUGUCUGGUACAAACAUCCGUUCAGUCGUCACGUGACAGAAAAGGCCCCCAGAAAUCUCAUGAAAUGGAAGUCAACGUUCAAGGACGAUGCCUAUUUCAAGGACGAUGGCUAUUUCUUCGGAUGGGGAGGCAAACGUAGGCUCGCCGAGGGACUACCGGGAUAAAAAGCGACGUCGACCAGAAUCACAACAGGAAGUGUUGUAUAAUGUUCAUUUGAAGCGUCUGUACAUUACAAUUCAGUGUCGAUGAUUCAAUAAAUUGUGCAACGUUCAAACCAUUUAGCUAUUUCGUGUAAAUAGAAACUGUUAUUUGCAUACAAAUGACAAAC